UCUUUUAAGUCUAAUGUGAAAGCGUUCGGCUCAACCGAAGAAGUGCAUUGGAAACUGGGAGACUUGAGUGCAGAAGAGGACAGUGGAACUCCAUGUGUAGCGGUGAAAUGCGUAGAUAUAUGGAAGAACACCAGUGGCGAAGGCGGCUGUCUGGUCUGCAACUGACGCUGAGGCUCGAAAGCAUGGGUAGCGAACAGGAUUAGAUACCCUGGUAGUCCAUGCCGUAAACGAUGAUUACUAAGUGUUGGAGGGUUUCCGCCCUUCAGUGCUGCAGCUAACGCAUUAAGUAAUCCGCCUGGGGAGUACGACCGCAAGGUUGAAACUCAAAAGAAUUGACGGGGGCCCGCACAAGCGGUGGAGCAUGUGGUUUAAUUCGAAGCUACGCGAAGAACCUUACCAGGUCUUGACAUCUUCUGACAGUCUAAGAGAUUAGAGGUUCCCUUCGGGGACAGAAUGACAGGUGGUGCAUGGUUGUCGUCAGCUCGUGUCGUGAGAUGUUGGGUUAAGUCCCGCAACGAGCGCAACCCUUAUUACUAGUUGCCAGCAUUAAGUUGGGCACUCUAGUGAGACUGCCGGUGACAAACCGGAGGAAGGUGGGGACGACGUCAAAUCAUCAUGCCCCUUAUGACCUGGGCUACACACGUGCUACAAUGGAUGGUACAACGAGUCGCGAGACCGCGAGGUUAAGCUAAUCUCUUAAAACCAUUCUCAGUUCGGACUGUAGGCUGCAACUCGCCUACACGAAGUCGGAAUCGCUAGUAAUCGCGGAUCAGCAUGCCGCGGUGAAUACGUUCCCGGGCCUUGUACACACCGCCCGUCACACCAUGAGAGUUUGUAACACCCAAAGCCGGUGGGGUAACCUUUAGGAGCUAGCC
rnacentral:rRNA from 1 species